AUCCCCACAGUUACAUCAAUGGUGACAGCACCCAAAAAAUACUCACCAUUCCUUUUUUUUCUUUGGUCCGACACUCACCAAAGCCCACAAACGUGUCCCUGCAAUUUAAAACAAAUAUUUGUCUAACUAUUCACAACUCACCAAACGCGUCUUUGUGUAGAUAAGCUGAUAAGGUGAAAUCAAGGGCAAAGCCCUCUCCUCAGAAACAAAACGCUAAUUCCUGUUUGGAUCUCUCUCUCUCUCUCUCUCUCUCUCUCUCUCUCUCUCUCUCUCUCUCUCUCUCUCUCUCGUCCUCCUUCUCCUUCCUGUAUCUCUCGAUCUCUCAAUCAUGAACAAGGUAGUAGAUCCAAAAUCCAUGCAGAUCCCCCACUAUCGAUUUUGGAUCUGCUCCGAUGGUGAAGUUUCUGCUGGAGCAUCUGGAGAAAUCGAUUUUCGAUUUGCUCCGACGGUGAAGUUUCUGCUGGAGCAUCAGUCUUAAUCGAGUUUGGAUAUGCUCCGAUGGUGAAGUUUAUGCUGGAGCAUCUGGAGAAAUCUGGGUGUGGGAUAUUAGACUGGUCUUGCUGGGCCGUUCAUUGCGAGAAGAAGAUUGCCGGAGUAUACACCCGCCUCGGAUGGAUAAUGGUGUGUAGUAAUCACAUGAACAUGCAAGAUGAGGUCAACCAAGUAGUGAUACAUGAGCUAAUUCAUGCUGGAACAGAUUCGUGUUGGCCAUCUUAGUGGUGAUUGCCACUGUAAACGUGAAUUUUUGCUGUGCCAAGAAGAUUCGAGAAUUGUGAACAAAGAGGAGGCGACAGUAAAAAGAAAGAGAGAGAAGAGAACAGGGAAACAAGAGAAAGAAGAAAGAAGAAGAAGACGGGAAGCUGUGUGUGUUUUCUUUGAUCAGUUGAUUGUGUUCGACGGAAUUUUGUAUCAUUUCACUGCCAUUGUUCUUCUGUCUGUUGAUUAACAUUAUCUUCAUCUCUUAUUGUUAUUCAGGCACUGGGAACAGUGUGCUAUCAGCUUCUGUUACUUUGGAUUCAGAUCAACGGAAAAAAGAAACAAUGAAUGGAAGACAACCUAUUGCUCAAAACAUAAGGGUAGAUCAUCAUCCUGGUGGUGGGCAUUGGUUUGCUGCGGGUCUCUCUCCUAAUAUUCCAGGCAGAAACAGGGUCUCCAUGCAUAGCAGCCCACAUUUUCAGGAUUGAAGGAGCGGUUGCUGCUCAUAAUUUUGCUCCUGUGUUCAUAAUCUACAAUGCUGGAACUGAUAUUCUAGAUGGCGAUCCUUUGGGCAGUCAUCCAUGGAGGAGAAGUGGAAGUUGCAGAUAUCAUGCCUAGAUUUAUUUAUUUUUUCUUUCACAAAAGUGAUUUGAUAACAACUAUUGAGGUUGUAUAUUAAUUUUCAUUUUUUUUUAAAUUUGAAAUAUUGCAGUCACCAUUGUUAGAUAGUGUGUUUUCUGAUGAUGGGGCCCACAGUUUGUAAGUCACCAAAAAAAUGAUAGUGCAUUUUUGAGUCUUUGUCACGCCAGCAAUGGCAACCAUUCAAAUUUUGGUGUCUAAGAUGGUGACUAUUGCCAUUACACACCAAUCAUUGUUGUCUUUUACUUCAAUCCACACCAUUGUGAAUGGUGUUUAUAGCUCAGUUUU